rnacentral:rRNA from 1 species
UUAAAUUGAAGAGUUUGAUCAUGGCUCAGAUUGAACGCUGGCGGCAGGCCUAACACAUGCAAGUCGAACGGUAACAGAAAGCAGCUUGCUGCUUUGCUGACGAGUGGCGGACGGGUGAGUAAUGUCUGGGAAACUGCCUGAUGGAG